AUGAACGCUGGCGGCCUUCCUAAUACAUUCAAGUCGAGCGAACAGACGAGGAUCUUGCUCCUCUGACGUUAGCGGCGGACGGGUGAGUAACACGUGGAUAACCUACCUAUAAGACUGGGAUAACUUCGGGAAACCGGAGCUAAUACCGGAUAAUAUAUUGAACCGCAUGGUUCAAUAGUGAAAGACGGUUUUGCUGUCACUUAUAGAUGGAUCCGCGCCGCAUUAGCUAGUUGGUAAGGUAACGGCUUACCAAGGCAACGAUGCGUAGCCGACCUGAGAGGGUGAUCGGCCACACUGGAACUGAGACACGGUCCAGACUCCUACGGGAGGCAGCAGUAGGGAAUCUUCCGCAAUGGGCGAAAGCCUGACGGAGCAACGCCGCGUGAGUGAUGAAGGUCUUCGGAUCGUAAAACUCUGUUAUUAGGGAAGAACAAAUGUGUAAGUAACUAUGCACGUCUUGACGGUACCUAAUCAGAAAGCCACGGCUAACUACGUG
rnacentral:rRNA from 1 species